rnacentral:rRNA from 1 species
UACAGAGGUCUCAAGCGUUGUUCGGAUUCAUUGGGCGUAAAGGGUGCGUAGGUGGGCAGGUAAGUCAGUGGUGAAAUCUCCGGGCUUAACCCGGAAACUGCCAUUGAUACUAUUUGUCUUGAAUACCGUGGAGGUCAGCGGAAUAUGUCAUGUAGCGGUGAAAUGCUUAGAUAUGACAUAGAACACCAAUUGCGAAGGCAGCUGGCUACACGAAUAUUGACACUGAUGCACGAAAGCGUGGGGAUCAAACAGG